ACGAAGGUGGCGAGCGUUGUUCGGAAUCACUGGGCUUAAAGAGCACGUAGGCGGCUCAUCAAGUACUUUGUGAAAUCCCAUGGCUCAACCAUGGAAUUGCUUGGUAUACUGUUCGAGCUUGAGGCAGGUAUGGGCGUGUGGAACUCUUGGUGGAGCGGUGGAAUGCGUAGAUAUCAAGAGGAACGCCGGAGGCGAAAGCGAUGCGCUGGGCCUGUCCUGACGCUGAGGUGCGAAAGCCAGGGGAGCAAACGG
rnacentral:rRNA from 1 species